CUGUAACACGUGUUUAUGUUUGUAUGAAGAUGAGCAUUUACUACACUUAAAAGGUCUAUCUAAGGAGUGCAUUCGUUUAUGUAUUCCGAGUUUGUAUUCCGAGAUGAAAAAUUUGCCACAUUCCAGGCACUGAUAUUUCUCGUCUGCUGGAGAGUGAUAUAUCUUUUUGUGGCAGAGCAAUCCCUUCUUAGUUUUAAAGGUCCUUCGACAUUCGUCACAUAUAGCUGUGACGUCAUUUCUGUGUACAGUUAGUUGAUGUGUCUUCCAUUCUUCAUGCGUAUCAAAUCGUGAAUGGACACAAAAACGACAAAUCAAAGCAUGCGUCUCUG
rnacentral:lncRNA from 1 species